AUUUGGGAUGAAGACAUAAUAUCCAAUAUUACACGAAGUUUCUCGGAUAUUUUGCUGAAUACGCAAAAUCGUCUCAAUGACAAAAGAAAACAAAAAUAAAUUGGAAAGUAAUAUUAUAAUUUUUGGAAAAUCUAUUGUACGUAUUGUGUUAUUUACUCUGCAAUUACUUUCUUAUGGUAUACUUCAAUUGUUUUACGUUCUAAUUUGGUCCCGGCUCUGGGGGAAAAUGGCGUCCAAAGGUGGAAAAGGAUCGUCAUCGAAGAAACAAGAUGAACCAAAUGGUGAUAAUGGCGCUAUUCCGCCUUCGAUAGUGGAUAUAAGAAGACAUCAUAAACAGUCUUAUGCUUAUAUUGAUAAAGCUUUGAGAAUCGAUGAAUCUGCUGGAAACUGUGAUGCCAAAGAAAGAGCUGUUGAGUGUUAUAAACAAGGAAUUGAGGAGCUAAAGAAAGGAAUAGAAAUACAAUGUGAUGGACAAGGCGAAGAAUGGGAUCGGGCGAGAAACCUGCAAAGUAAGAUGGAAGAAAACCUGAAGAGCACAACAAUGAGAAUGGAUGAACUUGUUGCACUUCUGGUGUCACAGUCUGAUGAUGCCAGCAAAGGAUCAGGUGUAAAAUCUAAAUCGAAAAUAAGUCUUCCAAAGAGUUUCAAAAAACCUCAACCCAAUGGGCCAAGUGUUAGCAGAACAAGCAACAGCAAUCAAGCAAAAACAACAACUGACAAAAGAAAACCAUCUCAAAGUCCAAGGCUUAAUAGACGUCCUGUCUCAAGACCAGAGUCGAGCAGAAUGACACGAGUGCCCUCGGUCAACUCUAUGGACGAGUUGAAGAAAGAUCAGAAGAGGAAAGUGUCAUAUCUAAAAAAUAUUGACACAAAAAUUGCGAAUAGAAUCCUGGACGAAGUAGUUCAAAACUCUCCUGACGUUACAUUUGAAGAUGUCGCCGGAAUGGAAAACGCCAAAAGAUUGCUGCAGGAAAUUGUCAUUUUACCAGCUUUACGACCAGAGUUGUUCACAGGUUUAAGAGCACCAGCCCGCGGUCUGCUACUCUAUGGCCCUCCUGGAAACGGCAAGACAAUGUUGGCAAAAGCUGUUUCCCAUCAAUCGAAAGCGACGUUUUUCAACGUCAGCGCUGCCACCUUGACGUCAAAAUGGGUUGGGGAAGGCGAGAAACUUGUACGAGCGCUGUUUGCUGUGGCGAGAGAGCUACAGCCGUCAAUCAUCUUCAUCGACGAAAUAGACUCGCUGCUUUGUGAGAGAAAAGAAGGGGAACAGGAGAGCAGUCGUAGGAUAAAAACAGAAUUUCUGCUGGCGUUUGAUGGUCUUACCUCCGGAGAGAAUGAACGUAUUUUGGUGAUGGGCGCCACAAAUCGACCGCAAGAACUCGAUGACGCUGCUUUGAGGAGAUUGGUUAAGAGAGUCUACCUACCGCUGCCUGACAGCAAGACAAGAAAGACUCUGCUUGCAAAACUAUUGACUAGGCAUCACAGUCCAUUGUCAGACAGCGAGCUGGAAAAACUAGCCACGCUGACAGAAAAUUAUUCCGGAAGUGACUUGACGGCUCUCGCCAGAGAUGCAGCAUUGGGACCCAUUCGAGAAAUGAAUCAUGACGAGUUGCAAACUAUUUCUGCAAAUAAGGUUCGCAACAUCAAAUUAUCGGAUUUUGUCGAUUCUAUGAAAAACGUUCGUGCGAGCGUUUCGCCAGAGACGUUGAAGAUAUUUCAAGAUUGGACAAAGACAUACGGAACACAAGCGUAGCCUGACAGAAACUAAGCACCGAGGACCACCGUUUACAUCGUUAUAAGCUAUGUGAGGAACAUAGUACUCCACACAACCGGAGGACGUCAACACGAAAAAAAACCAUUUCAAUUUUAGUAAAUAAAUCUCGUCUAUGACUUCAAGUUUUCGCCCGCCAUAUUUUGCCAUAGGUAAAGCACAUGACUUGCCAUUGCGUAAAUUAGUUAAAGAGAGUCUGCGAUGUGUGUUUAACUGAGACGAUAUUCUAUAUUGCACAUGCACGUCAGCUCUGUAUUAAAAUGGUUAUAAUUUAACGGAAUAACAUUGGUAUUAGGCUAUGAAAUAUGUAUUAAGUUGUUAGGCAACAUUAAAAAACAAUGAUAAAUAUAAUUUAGAUAUUUUCUGAAAACGUUCCCUCCGAAUCGUUCAACAAGAAUGUCAUGCGGUUAGUUCGACCAUCACGAGACAGUUGAUAGAGUGACAGGAAAAGUAUCAAAUUACAUUUCAUACCAACUCAUGUAAAAAUCACAAAAUCAUUGUCAACAGAAUGUGGUUGAGAAAUAUUUUCACGACGAAAGCAGUCGCUAUUAUCGCGAUAUAUUUAUUUUUAUUCCUGCUACGAAAGACUAUUUUAUCCGUCGACCGGCGAGUUCUUCAUUGGCUUCUAAAUGACAUGAGAUUUCCUGAUUAUAAUGGUGAGGUCGAAGGUUUCCUUAACUUUGGAAAAAUCAGCUACAAUCUGACCGAGAUGAAGCUAAGCGGUGUCGCCAUCGAGGAUUCAAAUAUCGACAUAUCGAAUCUGUGGGAAUUCAACUACAACGACACGUCUCGUGUUUACAUUUCCUUCCUGAACGGCAAUGCAAAUUUCGAUGCAAAUUGGGAAUACAGCGCAUGGCCUGCCCUGGGAGACGACGGUGAACUGUCAUUGGAGGUUAAUAACGCCUCUUUAGGUUUUGAAGUAACGAUUUUCACCGAUGACAUGGGGUUUAUAAACUACACAAGUGAAUGUAUGGUAAAAAUAAUGAAGGUUGAUCUAGAAUUCUACCAUGAGCCUAAUAUGAUGUAUGACUCAUUCAAACCAUCGAUAAGAAAAAAAGUAAAAGGUUUAUUAACCAAGGGAUUGUGUAAAGCAUUACGUCGAGGCCUGUUGAAAAGAAUAAGCACUACCAUGGGAAACAUCCAAGAGAAAUAUAUCAAGUUUAUGCCCUUUGGCGAUGCUAAAACUUACAGAACGUUUACUGGUUGGGUUCUUGUGUAUCUGUUUUUUACAGCAGUAAAAGUUGUGCAUGAUUUUGGAGUGACAUUGAUACUCGUUCUAGCGGUACUGGUAAUCUAUCUGGUAUACGAAAUCCUCAAAUCUCUCGUCAAUAGAUUUAGUGCGACCAUCCGCCAGAGAUAUCACAAGACCAAAGUACGAUCGCGCAGCGACCCUGAACUACGACCAGAACAGGUAAAGCCAGUUUUGAAUCCUGUUUCAGUAACCAUGAUUUCCCGCGGCGACGAAACAAACGCCCAGAAAAAGACAGCAUUUUGGACGGGGAUCAAUAGAAGAUUACUCUGGUGGAGAAAACCCAAAGAAAACUGAGGAAGAGGAGCUUUGGGAGGAGCGAUGAUAAUUAUAUUUGGAAUUAGGGGAAACCAAAACAUAGUUUCUAUGGUUAUGUUUGUGUAGCUUGAUUGGAAUGUUAGGAUGAACGUGUUUGCCAGCAUGAACUGUAAAUUGUUUUUUGAAGAGUGGUCCUCGAAGAAAACUCGAAGAAAACUCGACCCUCAAUAUUUAUUACACAACUUGUUUUAGAAAAUUUUGAAGUUUUACAGUUUUACUAUUUCUGCUGUUUUCAUCUUUGUAUGAAAUGAAAAGGUUUUAUCUAAUUUUCUUCGCCGGCGUUACGUGAAAGGACACUCAGUGUUCGUUACAUUGAGUUAUAUUUAAAUUAAAACGGUUUAAUGAGUCGUUUAUUUCCCCUGGUCAAUAUAAACCAGAGGAAACGAGCUACAAGACAACACCUUCACGACGGACAUGCAACCAAAGAAUCUUAAUGAACAUUAAACACGCCAUUAUGAUUUUUAAAUCAAUCAAACAUUCGAUAUUGCUCUUGUGUUGGCACGAGGUGCGCGCAUAUAAAACAUAAUCUGCGCGGAAUAAUAUCAAUCGUCUCUUAGCAUUUGCAAGUGUCUGUAGCGAUUGAAGUUGGAUAUUUAAGAAACAAGAUGAAGGCCGUAAUCUGUGUAGUAGGUUUUUGUGUUUUCGCCUUUGUACAAGGAGCUUCGUUUGGGAAUGAAAAAAUGGACGAGGAGACUGAUAAUAGGGGAGACGUUGUUGAUUUUCUUGAAAAAACGAAGGGUGAAUUUGAUGACAAUGGUGGAAAACUUCAGAUGCCAAUAUUGAAAGACAAACACUACCCGUUUUGCGAUGUUCGCUAUAAGGCGUG